rnacentral:lncRNA from 12 species
AGGUGAGCUCAGGGUGGGGACAGGAGCGGCACCAGCACACCUGGACCACACCCAGUGACUCCCCCAGGUGUGGCCACGUCCAUCCAGGUGCGUCAGUGUCCAUCCGGGUGAGCUCAGGUGUGUCCAGUGUCCAUCCAGGUGUAUCCAUGUCCAUCCAGGUGUGCCAGGUGUGUCCAGGUGUGCCCAGGUGAGCUCAGGGUGGCACCAGCACACCUGGGGCUCGCUCACACACCUGGGCCACGCCCAUAAACGCACAGGUGACUCCUCCAGGUGUGUGCAGGUGUGUCCAUGUCCAUCCAGGUGCGCCCAGGUGAGCCCAGGUGAGCUCAGGGUGGGGACUGGAGCGGCACCAGCACACCUGGGCACACCUGGGCACACCUGGACCACACCCAGUGACUCCCCCAGGUGUGUCCAUGCCCAUCCAGGUGUGUCCAUGUCCAUCCAG